rnacentral:tRNA from 1 species
CAAGAAAGGAAGGAAUUGAACCUCCAUAUAUUAGUUUCAAGCCAAUCACAUUACCGCUCUGUCACUUUCUU